GAGGGUGUAGCUCAAGUGGUAGAGCACAUGCCUACCAUACACAAGGUCCUGGGUUCAAUCCCCAGUACCUCCU
rnacentral:tRNA from 1 species